UCAGAUGGAGAUGAAGUAGCAGCGGCAGUCGAGCAACAGAGAGACAACAGCGUCUGAACCGCGGAUCCGGAGCUUUUUCUUCAGGGGGGGAACAGACAGGUGACAGAGCAAACCGAGCCGCCUCAACGCCCAUCGGUGGAAAUUACUGCUGUUUCAAGCCCCGCACACACCCCCAGGUUGCCUCAGUAGAUGUUACUCAGCUGCAUGCAUUUCGAUCUGAUCAUCUAAGCCCGGUCCACCAAGAUGGAAAAUGCGCACACUAAAUCGGCGACUGAAGUUUUAGACAACUUCAGUGUGAACGAAAACACCGGGCUGACUCUGGAGCAGGUCAAAGUCAGUUUGGAGAAAUAUGGGCCGAACGAGCUCCCGGCUGAAGAAGGCAAGUCCCUGUGGGAGCUGGUGGUGGAGCAAUUUGAAGACCUCCUGGUCCGGAUCCUGCUGCUGGCUGCCUGCGUCUCCUUUGU